UGCAGUCGUACAGGUAACCCAGCUUGCUGUUUUGCUGAGAGUGGCGGACCGGUGAAGUAAUGUCUGGGAAACUGCCUGAUGGAGGGGGAUAACCACUGGAAACGGUAGCUAAUACAGCAUAACGUCGCAAGACCAAAGAGGGGGACCUUCGGGCCUCUUGCCAUCGGAUGUGCCCAGAUGGGAUUAGCUAGUAGGUGGGGUAACGGCUCACCUAGGCGACGAUCCCUAGCUGGUCUGAGAGGAUGACCAGCCACACUGGAACUGAGACACGGUCCAUACUCCUACGGGAGGCAGC
rnacentral:rRNA from 1 species